UAUGGUAGGUGAAGCAUUGGCUAUCUGCUCAGCUCUUUUAGAGGCUAUACUUGAAGAUGUCACUUGUAUUAUGGUGGAGAAUGACAACAAAGAUGUAAUCGUCUAUUUGCACAAUGAAACUUCAUUAGCUACCUUGCUUGUCAAACCCAUCUCAGUAUUCUUCACUUGAAAUCCUCCUUUGAAUCUUGAAUUUUUUUCUUUUGUUCCAAGGGAGCUUAAUAACUUAACUGACUCCUUGACAAGGCUGUUUUUAACCAGAGGAAAAGUUUGGCCCAUUUUCAAUCCUUAUAUCCACGAUCAAAGCAUGACAUCCAUGAGUUCUUCCCAGCCCUCUAAAUAAAUUUAUUUUCACCAAAACGAAAGGGACAAUUACGCCUCCCCCUGUACUUUGCCAUAAUUAUAUAUAGAUCCAAACGUUUUCAGAAAUUACACCCCCUCCCCUGGAUUUUUGAGAUUCUCACAAAUAAGUCCAAUCCAUUAGUUCCCAUUAAAUUGGAACUGUUAAGUGAUGACGUAACCUGAUAUCAAACUAAUUAAUGCCCAAAAGACCCUUCUUUAUAUGUGAACUUACCUAUAUGCCCUUCAAUUAAAAUAAGAGGGAAGGCAGCCUCCCCUGAUAGUCUACGGAACUUGAUAUCAAACUAAUUAAUGCCCAAAACACCCUUCUUUAUAGGUGAACUUACCUAUAUGCCCUUCAAUUAAAACAAGAGGGAAGGCAGCCUCCCCUGAUAGUCUUCAACCUAUCCUCUCGGGAUGCUCACUAAUCGUCUUCAACCUCUGGUUUUCAGAAGUUACCUUAAUGUUUGAUCAGCUCUGAUGAAGUUGAGAAGAGUAGAGAGCAAAAUCGCAUAGGCACCACACCUUCCACGCUUCAUGACCUUCUUGCGCCAGCGAACUCCUUCUGCUCUUGCAAAACCAUUGUUUCAAUACCUUAAAACCCUAAAGUGUUGUUAAGGUUGAGAGUGAUAGUUAACCUCCUACUUUCCAUUUACCAAUAAAACCUCCACAUUUCCCUUGGGAGAAAUUGUGUUCUCCACGUCAACGCCCAUUUUCAGGUCCUACUUUUAAUCCAACUUCAUCUUCUCGCUUUAAGAGUUUCACACCAAGAGCCUUCUCUUCUUGUUCUCCGCUUCAACGCCCAUUUUUAGUUCCUACUUUUAAUCCAACUUCAUCCUCUCUUUUAAGAGUGUCACACCAGGAGCCUUCUAUUUUGUAUGCAAUCUCUGGUUUCAAUAUUAUUCGAUUGGAGCUUCAAGAAUUAACAAUGGCUGAUGCAGAUAAGUUCCCUCUUUCAUUGGGUUCCCAUCAGACUUCAGUUACGUCCUCAUGAAGCUUGUCCUGACUCUGGCGUUCAUUUUGUGUUAUAGCUUCCUGGAAUGUUGGAGAAGGGGAUUGGGCUCAGUUGAAAGAUUGCCUGCGGAAAGUUUCGCCAGGACGACCAAGUCUCUUCUUCUAAGAUGUUGAAUUCAAUUUUCAUUGCUUGCUGCAAAGAACCAGCUUCCUGCAACUCAUCAUCGUCCUCCAAGAACAGUUCUUUCCAUCCAAGUUGCUAAUUGUGGGGCACAACUUGGACAAUCCCAUAUUAUGACGGCCAACCUUGCAGGAUCUGGGACGGAUGCAAAGAUUGGAUAUGAUCAGGUCCGUGAUGGGCUCUACUACUUGGAUUCUCCACCGGCUGUGCCUCCUCCUGUGGCAUCUCAUACUCUCCGCUCUAACAGCUCUCUCUCAACUCCACCAGUGGUACCGUUGUCUGGGACAUCCUUCUUUUCAUAUUUUACAUCGCAUACUUCCUACUUUAGUUAAACAUUAUGGUUUGGAAUAACUUAAGUGUGAUGUAUGUGAGUUCGCUAAACAUACACGCACCUCUUA